rnacentral:rRNA from 1 species
AUUGAACGCUGGCGGCAGGCCUAACACAUGCAAGUCGAGCGAGCGGCGGACGGGUGAGUAAUGCCUGGGAAUUGCCAAGUCGAGGGGGAUAACAGUUGGCAACGACUGCUAAUACCGCAUACGACUGGUUUGCUCAGGUGGGAUUAGCUAGUUGGUGAGUUAAUGGCUCACCAAGGCGACGAUCCCUAGCUGGUCUGAGCGGAUGAUCAGCCACACGGGAACUGAGACACGGUCCAGACUCCUACGGGAGGCAGCAGUGGGGAAUAUUGCACAAUGGGGGAAAGCCUGAUGCAGCCAUGCCGCGUGUGUGAAGAAGGCCUUCGGAUUGUAAAGCACUGUCAGCGAGGAGGCGUUACUCGCAGAAGAAGCACCGGCUAACUCCGUGCCAGCAGCCGCGGUAAUUC